CGGCGGACGGGUGAGUAACGCGUGGGUAACCUGCCUCAUACAGGGGGAUAACAGUUAGAAAUGACUGCUAAUACCGCAUAAGACCACAGCACCGCAUGGUGCGGGGUAAAAACUCCGGUGGUAUGAGAUGGACCCGCGUCUGAUUAGCUAGUUGGUAAGGUAACGGCUUACCAAGGCGACGAUUGGUAGCCGGACUGAGAGGUUGAACGGCCACAUUGGGACUGAGACACGGCCCAG
rnacentral:rRNA from 1 species